ACAUAAUUUUUUUUCAUGAUAUCGACAAGUUCCCCCCCGUGAAGAUCUUGGUGGUAGUAGAAAAUAUUCAAAUGAGAACUUUGAAUACUGAAGUGGGGAAAGGUUCCAUGUGAAAAUCACGUGGACAUGGGUUAGUCGAUCCUAAGAGAUGGGGAAGCUUUGUGUCAAGGGUGCGCUCUGAAUGAACAUUGAAAGGGAAUCGGGUUAAUAUUCUCGAACCGAGACAUGGUUGUGGAUGGAAACGUUAGGAAAUCUUGAGACGUCAUUAGGGGCCCCGGGAAGAGUUAUCUUUUAUUUUUAACGACUUUCCCACCCUGAAAUAGGUUCAACCGGAGAUAGGGUCCAGUAGCUGGAAGAGCACCACACGUCUUGCGGUUUCUGGUGCCCCCUUGGUGGCCAUUAAAAAUCUGGAGGAUCGAGUACCAUCCAUUCCUGGUCGUACUUAUAAUUGCAUCAGGUCUCCAAGGUGAACAUCCUCUGGUCAAUAGAAUAAUGU
rnacentral:ncRNA from 1 species